AUUGAACGCUGGCGGCAGGCCUAACACAUGCAAGUCGAACGAGUGGCGGACGGGUGAGUAAUGUCUGGGAAACUGCCUGAUGGAGGGGGAUAACUACUGGAAACGGUAGCUAAUACCGCAUACCAUCGGAUGUGCCCAGAUGGGAUUAGCUAGUUGGUGGGGUAAAGGCUCACCAGGGCGACGAUCCCUAACUGGUCUGAGAGGAUGACCAGCCCCACUGGAACGUAGACACGGUCCAGACUCCUACGGGAGGCAGCAGUGGGGAAUAUUGGACAAUGGGCGAAAGCCUGAUGCAGCCAUGCCGCGUGUAUGAAGAAGGCCUUCGGGUUGUAAAGUACUUUCAGUGGGGAGGCGUUACCCACAGAAUAAGCACCGGCUAACUCCGUGCCAGCAGCCGCGGUAAUAC
rnacentral:rRNA from 1 species